ACACAUUUAUUUCUUAUUAACUCACUGAAAUAGUCUGAAUAUUCAAUUUGUCACAAAUCUCAUACGCACAAUGCGUGGGCGCAUAUUUCACAGCUCGUAGUAAUUCAAUCUAUUUUCGUUCACGGAUUUUAUUUUUACAAAUUCCCAAAGUAUCUGAUUGGAACACUUAUAUCGCUGUAUCUACACGGCAAGCACACUGGGUUAAAGCAGUAAUGACGCAGUUUUGAAAAGUUUUUGGCACGCAGAUUGUUCGAGGCUUGCUCAUAAAUCAUCGCCGUCCGCGUUGGUUUGUCACACAACUCACACGGCUAAAUUUAAUUCUUCUAACGUUUACAACAAUGAUUUCGAGAAGGUUUCACGCAAAACACCAUAAAUUCGAAAAGAUUAAACGCGGGAUUAAAAUACCACCGAAUGAAAUUGAUGUUUUGUUGUUUUUUUCUAGUUAAUUUUAUCACUGCGGUUGGCUUAUAAUUGUUAUUGUUUUGCCAAAUUGUUUACGCUCCGUUUGCUUUGAUCAUUACAAUACUAAUUAGAAUUAAUAAUCCGUAAUUUAAGCGUUUCGUUGGCGUAGUUUCUAGAUUUUCAUGAAAUGCCUCCUGACUGGCAGGCGCAGUUGUUACCCGCACGAGAGGAUAACAAAGCUGCGCCAGAAAUAAGCUUUGCACACAUUACUUCACAUUUGCAGCGAUUUUGCAUAGCGCACCAUCAAGGUUGUAGUAAAGCAUACGCAAAACACGAAAAAAACAAAAACUGAAUUCUAACUUAAAACUGUUAGAAAGUCUACGACAAUGAAGUGAAACUAUACACGAUGAUAAGUGGAUGAGAAUAUUAUACCUGUGUUCGUAUUGAAAACGAGCGUGUGCGUUCGGACGCCGCUUUUCACAGAUCGCUGCGAGAAACUAAAAGCGACGCCGACGACGCGCGGCUCGUGGAGCGGCGGCGAGCGCCCCGAACCCGCCGACUACGCUGAUGAGCAUCAGCAUUUUUUUCGAUCUCGCGAUGUUGUUUUUUGCUGAUGCAUUAUUCAUUGCACACGGUUUGCAGCCAGAAACUUGUCAGUGUACAAUCAUACCGAAAACAACAUAAUGUAAUUACGAACGCAGAAUGCAGAAAUACGUUGGUGUAUUGAGUUGUAAUUUGCACUUCAGGAACUUCGGGCUAAUUUUAAGCCACGUGCAAAAGUUGCGCGCGGAGACGCACUCGAAAGCGUGCUUAAAAUUAGUGCGUCGGUUAAGUCUUUUUCUCGAAUGCUUGAAAUUGCUUAGAUAUAGCUUUGAGAUUGCGUCGACGUAUCUAGUUAUAUAUCUGCUAGGAACUGUGACUUGCGUAGCUUUGAUAUGUUCACGGAGUCGAUAAAUGUGUGCGAACUACGUGGAAAUGUCUGCGACAUGAUUUAACGUAGAUUUAAAUAUUUAUAUUUAGUUUUACGAGGCAUUUGUAUAGGAGAAAAAUUGUACCAUGUGCAGAUUAACAAUAUUAUCAUUAUUUUCCGCAACCAACAUUACACAAUUAUAAAUUUUACUGAAAUUUGUCUGCAACCAAUAUUACACAUAAUUUUUUACAAGAUUUUCUUUUUCACUUUAUGAAUUUUUCAAAUAUUUGUUUGAAUUUUAUAUUUUUUAGCACCCAGUAUAAUUUUCUCAUAUUUAACCAGUCGCUUCAAUAGAUUAAAACAAUAAAUCCAUUCUCAUCGCAACACUUGCGCUGCUCAGCCACGUAAGAAGUUAAAAAUAAUAAGUUUAUUUUGCUUCACCUGAAAAACUAAAAACCUGGUUAUUUUUGACGUUUAACAGCAUCUAUCAGCCACGUAUCGCAUACUCUUAUCGGCAUCGGGAAUGUUACAAGUUAAAAAUAUGAUAAAAAUAGGUCAGUGUGUUAUAUUUACAAAUUUCCUCAUUAAUUUUUGACUAAUAUAACAUUACUGAUCCUCCUAAAAUUUGCUUUGCGACAAAAUCGUUGUAUUAAUCACUCGUGGCUUUUACUUCAAAAUUUUAAUGUAAAUUAAUGUUUUUGAGCGUUUAGAAUGCUUAAAACAACACAGGUGUACAUACAACACGCGGCAAUAAGUUUUUAAUACCUUCUCGUUCGUUUAUAUUUAGCUAGUGUUUUUGUUUGUGGUUUCAAAGCUAAAAAUAAAUAAGAUUCAAUGUGAAGUUUAACUGGCUACGUGUGCGAUCUAGCGGUGAGUUUUUAAAACUUUGAAGAUAAACACAAUUCCUGUAAGAAUAUGUUUUCUUCGUAAAUUCUUAAAGAUUAAUUGUUUGGACUUAUUUUACUCACAUCAAACAUCAAAUAAUGAUAAACGAUUACAUAAAAUAAUAAAAUACUAAAUCUUUGAUCUAUUUACACUUGUUUAGAUUUGUUUAGAGUUGCUUGUUGAGUAGGUUGUUAUACUCAUGUUUUACUCGUGUGUAGAACACUUUGGGUUGCCUAUAUCAAGACAAUAUACUGGAUUUAAUUACAAGAACUUCUUCGAGACGGCGUUUGCCUUAAAACAACAGAACUAACAUAGAAAUUCUUCUGAACAAAAUUCUCUUAGAAUCCAAAGUAAAAUAUGAUGUACUGUUUUAAAAAUAAAAUAAAACUGGUAUUGAUAUUACCGGUUAUCUGUUGAGAGGUUAUGUCAUUAAAGCUACUUAUUAUUUAAGUAUUCAUAUAAAUGACUUUAAAAAAUACUUUUCCAGUAAUAUGUGACUGAAUUUUAACACUGCACAAGUUGGAAUUUACUAUGUAUGUUAAAAUAAAUACGUUUUCCUCUG